UUGAGAGCGAUAGAGGAUACAGAGGGAAAGCACUCUGGUCAUCGCACAGCUAGGGUUGCUGGCUCGCCGCCGUUCCGAGCGUACAUACCGACUCCUGCUUACAUUUUAUGCUUCUUCUCUUGGAUUUAGGUCAGAUUUAGGCAGGAUUUGAGCUAAAUAGUAAAUCCUGCCAAACGCCAAAAAAUACAAAGUUAAAUCUCACGGUAAGUCUAAUCUCUACUUCACGGCAUUUUCGCCAUUUUGCCCUAAAUCCCGGAUUUCGUAAAUCUGACCGAAGCCAAAGGGGAGAAAUAUCGUUGCCUUCGCGGCAAGCUCCCGGCGCGACUUCCGAUCCGAAAGGAACAACGCUGUAGGAGGAGGCAUAGAAGUUUGACUCUUUCAGAACUCUACUUCACGCGAAGCAGAACAACAACUAAUAAAUGCAGAAGAGGAAAAGCAAACCCUAGACAAGCAAUGGCAAGCGACUCGUUCGAAGCUCUACCCCAGGCGAAGAGGGAAGCUCUACCUUAGGCGAACGGCAACAAAGAAACCGAAGAGAGAUGCUCCGACAAAAUCACAUCUUUGGUGUAUGCGUGGAGUGCUGGUUAAGGUUUAGAAGAUUGGCUAUUAUAAGGGUGAACUACU